GACGAAGGGGGCUAGCGUUGUUCGGAAUUACUGGGCGUAAAGCGCACGUAGGCGGCCUUUCAAGUCGGAUGUGAAAGCCCCGAGCUUAACUCGGGAACUGCAUUUGAUACUGAGGAGCUUGAGUCCGGGAGAGGUGAGUGGAACUGCGAGUGUAGAGGUGAAAUUCGUAGAUAUUCGCAAGAACACCAGUGGCGAAGGCGGCUCACUGGCCCGGUACUGACGCUGAGGUGCGAAAGCGUGGGGAGCAAACAGG
rnacentral:rRNA from 1 species